UCAGCUGCAAGGCCACAGAAGACAGGAACCGGUGACCAUCCCUACCAUGGCCUGGUCCCCUCUCCUCCUCACCCUGCUGGCUCACUGCACAGGGUCCUGGGCCCCGUCUGUGCUGACUCAGCCACCCUCCAUGUCUGGAUCCCCGGGCCAGAGGGCCACCAUCUCCUGCACUGGAAGCAGCAGCAACAUCGGGCGUGGUAAUUAUGUGGAGUGGUACCAACAGCUUCCAGGAAAGGCCCCCAAACUCCUGAUCUAUGAUGUUAACAAUCGAGCCUCGGGGGUCCCCAACCGAUUCUCUGGCUCCAAGUCUGGAAACUCGGUCUCCCUGACCAUCACUGGGCUCCAGGCUGAGGACAAGGCUGAUUACUACUGUGAAGACUGGGACAACAGCCUCAAUGGUUACACUGUGCUCCAGGGCUAAGGGGAAGU